GAUGAACGCUGACAGAAUGCUUAACACAUGCAAGUCAACUUGAAUUUGGGUUUUUAACUUAGAUUUGGGUGGCGGACGGGUGAGUAACGCGUAAAGAACUUGCCUCACAGCUAGGGACAACAUUUAGAAAUGAAUGCUAAUACCUGAUAUUAUGAUUUUAAGGCAUCUUAGAAUUAUGAAAGCUAUAAGCACUGUGAGAGAGCUUUGCGUCCCAUUAGCUAGUUGGAGGGGUAACAGCUCACCAAGGCGAUGAUGGGUAGCCGGCCUGAGAGGGUGAACGGCCACAAGGGGACUGAGACACGGCCCUUACUCCUACGGGAGGCAGCAGUGGGGAAUAUUGGACAAUGGACCGAGAGUCUGAUCCAGCAAUUCUGUGUGCACGAUGAAGUUUUUCGGAAUGUAAAGUGCUUUCAGUUGGGAAGAAAGAAAUGACGGUACCAACAGAAGAAGUGACGGCUAAAUACGUGCCAGCAGCCGCGGUAAUACGUAUGUCACGAGCGUUAUCCGGAUUUAUUGGGGCGUAAAGCGCGUCUAGGUGGUUAUGUAAGUCUGAUGUGAAAAUGCAGGGCUCAACUCUGUAUUGCGUUGGAAACUGUGUAACUAGAGUACUGGAGAGGUAAGCGGAACUACAAGUGUAGAGGUGAAAUUCGUAGAUAUUUGUAGGAAUGCCGAUGGGGAAGCCAGCUUACUGGACAGAUACUGACGCUAAAGCGCGAAAGCGUGGUAGCAAACAGG
rnacentral:rRNA from 1 species